rnacentral:ncRNA from 1 species
AGAGAAGGGGGGAGGGAGACUGCAGUGCCUAACGAUAAACCCUCAGAGAAGUUUUUUAGUAAACGAAGUGAAUUGAAAUAUCUUAGUAACUUCAGGAAAAGAAAUCAAAAGAGAUUCUAUGAUUAGCGUGAGUGAAAAUAGAGUAGCCUACUAACAUUAAGUAAAAUGGUUAAAAAACUGUUUGAAUUAAAUGGGGAACCUUCCUCAAAGGCUAAAUAUAAUACAUAAGCGACAGUGAAAAGUAUCAUGAGAGAAAGAUUGUAAUUAGUAGUUUUAUAAGCAGUUCGAGCCAAAUAAAUAAGUGAGAACGUACCUUUUGCAUAAUGGGUCACCUAGUUAACAUUAGAUGCGAGUGAAAGCGUAGGUAAACCAAUCGUUAAAAUAACGAAUAGUGUCUAAAGUUAGACCCGAAGCCUGGUGAUUUUACCAUAAUCAGGAUUAUAAAAGUCCGAACGGGUUAUCGUUGUAAAGAUAUCCGAGGAAUUAUGGUAGGUAGUGAAAGACAACACUGACUAGGAUAGCUGGUUUUCUGCGAAACCUAUAACAGUAGGCAAUUUGAGUAACAUCUUAGCAGGUACAGAAUUUAAUCUCAGACAAGAUGUUUAAAUUUUAGUGGUUAUAGCCAUUAAAACAACAUGUUGAUUUGUAUAUAUCGGGGGAUCGUGAAGAUUUUAUCGGUGAGUAUGUAGACUCGGAAUGGCAAAGAUGGAUCUUGAAUUAUCGGACAUAGAAUGAUAAGGUUGUAUGUCAAAAGGGAAACAGCCCAGAACAAGAGUUAAGGUUCCAAAAUUAUUAGUUAAGUGAAAUUAAGAA